rnacentral:piRNA from 1 species
UUGAAGUGAAAAGCCACUUGGGUUAGCCU